AUCAGUCACAAUAUUGUGGGACAGGCCACAUGUGACCCUACUGUAUCUAUCCGUUGUGUAAAACUUCUCAAGUUACUAAAAACAUGUACUAAGUUUUAGGAAUUUCCCUUUGAAUUAAUGGCUUUGAUAUGUAGAACUCCUAGUCAGGAUGAAAAUCAUAAUCACACGUAAGACUUUAGAGGAAAGAAGAUACUGAAAGAGAAACUGAAAAACCGAAGAAGUUGCAGUCGGAAGCUUGAUGCGUGGGGCGUUCCCUGGUGGGGGAAUUCUCGGAGAAGGAAAGAGUAUCCCUGCUCUGUGAGAGCAAUCCCCACCGCUGCCUUCUUCCUCUCUGUGUGACCAUCCAUGGUAGCCGCAGACUGCAGCUGCGAGAGGAGCCGAUGGGGUGUAGGGGCUGUUCGUUUUGUUGUAUAUGGCAGUUGAUGGCCAUGGUGGAAGCAGACAGAACCCAGCAGUGCACAGCAAGUCUUUAAUUAACUGGUCCGACUGAUGACUAGCUCUUCCUCUUUUCCAUGAGAGAUUUGAAGAGCUGAAAGAAUUACCUAAGAACUUGAGGAUGGGUCUUAGGAAGUGGAGUGGCUGCUGUCUGAUCUGAGGAGGAAGAAAGGAAUCAGACUGAAGUGGCCAUCAUGUCAUGUGAAGGAUUAUAUGUUAGGAAUACUUGUUAAAAUAUGAAGACUUUCCAAAUGCCUGUGCCACAUGUGAUGCUACUGAUUCAAAUCUUUCUUGUAUGAUAUAAAGUUGUGCUGGUCAUGCAAAGAGCGACUCAUCUACAAGACCUGAACUCUUGAUCAUCUUGUUCACUGUCAGCAGGAAAGGCUGUGAGACCUGCAGCUGUUCAGCCUGUUGAAGAGAAGACUGAGAGAGGAUCUUAUAAAUGCUAAUAAAUAUGUAAAAGGUGGUUGUCAAAUGAUGGGACCAGACUCCUGUUCAGUUGUGCCCAGCAACAGGACAAGAAGCAAUGAGCAUUAACUGGAACAAGUGCCAUCUGAACAUGAGGAAGAACUUUUUUACUUUGAGAGUGACAGUGCAGUGGAACAGGCUGUCCAGAGAGGCUAUAAAGUCUCCUUUCUAGGGAUAUUCAAAGCCCAUCUAGACACUUUCCUGGGUAACUUACUGUAGGGAGCCUGCUCUAGCAUUGGUCUUGAUGAUCUAGGGGUAUUGGUCUUGGUGAUCACCAGUGGUCUCUUCCUACAGUUCAGUGAUUUUGUAAAAUACCAUUAAAAAAAUUGCAUUUGGAAGCCUAGUUUUACUGAAGUCGAUAGCAACUACGAGAGUUAUCUGCAGAGGGAUGAAAAUCUGAAUGUCAGCAUCCUCUUGGAAUGGAAUUGUCUUGUACAAAAAAAAUCCCAAAAUAACUAACAAAACCAAAACUAACCCCGCCCCCCCUCAAAAAACCUCCAAAUGCAAAAGCCAGCAGCUUGAAAUUCUUCUGAAUGCUUUUUACUAGCACAAAAUCAGAAGUGGAACAUAAAGAUAACAGUUUAGUCUGGGUCUAGACCUCAUUCUAGAAAUAUAUUUAAUCCUCUUAAAGCUGUAUUGCAGCAUUAUUAAUAUAUAAUUCUCUUGUUUAUAAACCAUUCUGGCACAUAAUAAAUAUAGAGGGUGCUGCAGAGAAGUUUUUAUUUUGGUUUGGUUUUAGAAACUUCUACCUUAAAUUACAUGGUUCAUAUAUUUGAUUGCCCUUGAACUGAUUUAUAAUUAUUGAUCAUAAAUCUUUUGCACUGAAUAAAUGCUUUUCAUGGCUGGUGACAUUAUUAGCAGGCACCAAGAAGAAAGUAUUUUGCAAGAUGCUUAUACCUAGAAAAGCUAAAUUCUUUCUUCUGUUCAUUUUUAAAUGCCAUUUUGGAGGUGAGUGAUACUGUUAGAAGAGCACUGUUUUACUCUAGAGAAUCUGCUUUUGCAGAGGGAUUGAAGUCAACGAUUCCUUCCAACCCCUAUGAUUCUGGUGGUUUUGUGAUUCUGCGUGACUAUCUUAUGAUUCUACAAAAUUUGCCUGGUUUUCUCUUCCAUUCCUCCUUUGUCCCACUUUCAUUUAUACACUGAAGCAUUCAUAGCACAAUAUCUGCAGUUUUACACAAUAACCUUGAAUCUUCUCUCUGGUUGCCCUACAACCGUAAUGUAUGUUAUGAUGUAAGAAGAAAAUCCACUCCUGCUUAAAGAGUGUUUCUAGCACAUGUGGACUGCUAAAGAACCACAGAAUUUCACCCCGAAUGCAGAUUGGUUUGGAAUACUAGCUCUUAAUGUUCUCUAAAUAGCAGAAUUGCACACAGGAAAUUAAUAAAAAAUACUUUUUACAAGUAUGAGCGUGUGUAGAGUCACUGAAAGUCAUCUUGUAUUUGUGUGGAUUUCUUGUGGUCUGUUCAAAGUAGCUGCAAUAAA